rnacentral:rRNA from 1 species
CCUACGGGUGGCAGCAGUGAGGAAUAUUGGUCAAUGGCCGCGAGCCUGAACCAGCCAAGUCGCGUGAAGGAUGACGGCCCUACGGGUUGUAAACUUCUUUUAUCAAGGAAUAAAGUGAGGCACGUGUGCCUCUUUGUAUGUACUUUAUGAAUAAGCAUCGGCUAACUCCGUGCCAGCAGCCGCGGUAAUACGGAGGAUCCGAGCGUUAUCCGGAUUUAUUGGGUUUAAAGGGAGCGUAGAUGGGUUGUUAAGUCAGUUGUGAAAGUUUGCGGCUCAACCGUAAAAUUGCAAUUGAUACUGGCAGCCUUGAGUGCGGUUGAGGUAGGCGGAAUUCGUGGUGUAGCGGUGAAAUGCUUAGAUAUCACGAAGAACUCCGAUUGCGAAGGCAGCUUACUAGACUGCAACUGACAUUGAUGCUCGAAAGCGUGGGUAUCGAACAGGAUUAGAUACCCGUGUAGUC